UUGAAGAAGAAGGAAAACAAUGGUGAUUGCUGGAAGUUUUUUUUUUUGUUUUGUUAAAUAUGUUUAAGCAACCAUGAAAAAUAAAUCCCAAUACACUACUUUUGUUUCGCACUCGUUGUCAUAUGCCUUUGGAGUUGUUUUCUACUAA
rnacentral:ribozyme from 14 species